CCUACGGGAGGCUGCAGUGAGGAAUAUUGGUCAAUGGACGAGAGUCUGAACCAGCCAAGUAGCGUGAAGGAUGACUGCCCUAUGGGUUGUAAACUUCUUUUAUAAAGGAAUAAAACGAGGCACGUGUGCCUUUUUGCAUGUACUUUAUGAAUAAGGAUCGGCUAACUCCGUGCCAGCAGCCGCGGUAAUACGGAGGAUCCGAGCGUUAUCCGGAUUUAUUGGGUUUAAAGGGAGCGUAGAUGGGUUGUUAAGUCAGUUGUGAAAGUUUGCGGCUCAACCGUAAAAUUGCAAUUGAUACUGGCAGUCUUGAGUACAGUUGAGGUAGGCGGAAUGCGUGGUGUAGCGGUGAAAUGCUUAGAUAUCACGAAGAACCCCGAUUGCGAAGGCAGCUUAUUAAGCUGCGACUGACAUUGAUGCUCGAAAGUGUGGGGAUCAAACAGGAUUAGAUACCCCAGUAGUC
rnacentral:rRNA from 1 species